AUUAUUGAGAGUUUGAUCCUGGCUCAGGAUGAACGCUGGCGGCGUGGAUAAGGCAUGCAAGUCGAACGAGCCUUUGGCUCGAACAAUUGACAGUUAACAAUCAACACUUAACUACAAAAAACAUGCAAACGUUCAGAUUCUUAGACUUUCCUGUUUAUAAAGAUUCUAAGAAAUUCUAUAGAAUGGUAGUUGGUGUUACGGAAAAAUUUUCGAAAACUCAUAAUGACUUGGUCAGGCAGUUAAUAAGAGCGGUUUUAUCCGUUUCGUUGAACAUAGCGGAAGGAUCGGCGAAGAAAUCAGAUAAGGAUUUCAAUCGUUAUAUCGAAAACGCUUUGGGUUCAAUCAAUGAAUCGGUUGCCGCUUUGGAUAUAGCUUACGAAAGUUCACUUAUAAAUUUAGAUUGUUUUAAAUUUUUGAAACAAUCGGCGGAACAAAUCGCCAAACAACUUGGCGGGUUGUCGAAAAAAUUAAAAGGUUAAUUGUAAAAAGUUAAGUGUUAAUUGUUCGAGUUGAAGGCGAGUGGCAAACGGGUUAGUAACGCGUAGGCAACUUACCUUGAAGUCUUGAAUAAUUCAUCGAAAGGUGAACUAAUACAAGAUGGAAAUGAGGGGACGAAAGUCAUUCUCAUUUAAAGGGUGCAGCAAUGCACUUGCUUCUAGAGAGGCCUGCGUCCUAUCAGCUAGUUGGUGAGGUAAUGGCCCACCAAGGCUAUGACGGGUAGGGGGACUGAGAGGUUGGCCCCCAACAUCGGGACUGAGACACUGCCCGGACUCCUACGGGAGGCUGCAGUCAAGAACCUUCCUCAAUGGGCGAAAGCCUGAAGGAGCGACGCCGCGUGAUCGAAGAAGUCCUUCGGGAUGUAAAGAUCUUUUAUCGCCGAACAAUUUUGAGCGUAGGCGAUGAAUAAGGGGCUCCUAAACUCGUGCCAGCAGGAGCGGUAAUACGAGUGCCCCAAGCGUUAUCCGGAAUUACUGGGCGUAAAGCGUUUGUAGGGGGUUUUGAUAGUCCUGUGUUAAAUUCUAAGGCUUAACUUUAGAACCGCGCGGGAAACGUCAAGACUAGAGGAUAUGAGAGGCUGAUGGAACUCACGGUGUAGGGGUGAAAUCCGUUGAUAUCGUGGGGAACACCAAAGGCGAAGGCAUUCAGCUGGCGUAUUCCUGACCCUGAGAAACGAAAGCGUGGGGAGCAAAAAGGAUUAGAUACCCUUGUAGUCCACGCCCUAAACUAUGAUGACUAGCUGUUUGAAGUAUCGACCCUUCAAGCGGCGAAGCUAACGCGUUAAGUCAUCCGCCUGGGAAGUACGAUCGCAAGAUUAAAACUCAAAGGAAUAGACGGGAACUCGCACAAGCGGUGGAGCAUGUGGUUCAAUUCGACAAUAAGCGGGGAACCUUACCAGGGUUAGAAACUCUAACGAAUGCCGGCAGAAACGUCGGCAGUCCUCACGGACGUUAGAGUCAGGUGCUGCACGGUUGUCGUCAGCUCGUGGCGUGAGCUGUUCUCUUAAGUGAGUAAACGAGCGCAACCCCCAUGCUGCGUUAUAAGUGUCGCAGCAAACUGCCUCGGACAACGGGGAGGAAGGUGGGGAUGACGUCAAAUCAGCGUGGUCCUUUGACACCCUGGGCUACACACGUGCUACAAUGGCCGAUACAAUGGGCUGCGAAGCCGUAAGGCGGAGCUAAUCCCAUCAAAGUCGGCCCCAGUUCGGAUUGAGGGCUGCAACCCGCCCUCAUGAAGCCGGAAUCGCUAGUAAUCGCGGAUCAGCCAUGCCGCGGUGAAUACGUUCUCGAGUUUUGUACUCACCGCCCGUCACUUCAAGGGAGCCGGUAAUACCGGAAGCGGCUCAUUAGAGCCGACAAGGUAGGAUCGGUGACAGGGAAGAAGUCGUAACAAGGCAUCCGUAGCGGAAGCUGUGGAUGGAUCACCUCCUUU
rfam:Parcubacteria bacterium GW2011_GWC1_43_12 TV67_C0013, whole genome shotgun sequence.